GAUAACCUACCUAUAAGACUGGGAUAACUUCGGGAAACCGGAGCUAAUACCGGAUAAUAUUUUGAACCGCAUGGUUCAAAAGUGAAAGACGGUCUUGCUGUCACUUAUAGAUGGAUCCGCGCUGCAUUAGCUAGUUGGUAAGGUAACGGCUUACCAAGGCAACGAUGCAUAGCCGACCUGAGAGGGUGAUCGGCCACACUGGAACUGAGACACGGUCCAGACUCCUACGGGAGGCAGCAGUAGGGAAUCUUCCGCAAUGGGCGAAAGCCUGACGGAGCAACGCCGCGUGAGUGAUGAAGGUCUUCGGAUCGUAAAACUCUGUUAUUAGGGAAGAACAUAUGUGUAAGUAACUGUGCACAUCUUGACGGUACCUAAUCAGAAAGCCACGGCUAACUACGUGCCAGCAGCCGCGGUAAUACGUAGGUGGCAAGCGUUAUCCGGAAUUAUUGGGCGUAAAGCGCGCGUAGGCGGCCCUUUAAGUCUGAUGUGAAAGCCCACGGCUCAACCGUGGAGGGUCAUUGGAAACUGGAAAACUUGAGUGCAGAAGAGGAAAGUGGAAUUCCAUGUGUAGCGGUGAAAUGCGCAGAGAUAUGGAGGAACACCAGUGGCGAAGGCGACCCCCUGGUCUGUAACUGACGCUGAUGUGCGAAAGCGUGGGGAUCAAACAGGAUUAGAUACCCUGGUAGUCCACGCCGUAAACGAUGAGUGCUAAGUGUUAGGCCCUUUCCGCCCCUUAGUGCUGCAGCUAACGCAUUAAGCACUCCGCCUGGGGAGUACGACCGCAAGGUUGAAACUCAAAGGAAUUGACGGGGACCCGCACAAGCGGUGGAGCAUGUGGUUUAAUUCGAAGCAACGCGAAGAACCUUACCCCCUCUUGACAUCCUUUGACAACUCUAGAGAUAGAGCCUUCCCCUUCGGGGGACAAAGUGACAGGUGGUGCAUGGUUGUCGUCAGCUCGUGUCGUGAGAUGUUGGGUUAAGUCCCGCAACGAGCGCAACCCUUAAGCCCCGUUGCCAUCAUUAAGUUGGGCACUCUAAGUUGACUGCCGGUGACAAACCGGAGGAAGGUGGGGAUGACGUCAAAUCAUCAUGCCCCUUAUGAUUUGGGCUACACACGUGCUACAAUGGACAAUACAAAGGGCAGCGAAACCGCGAGGUCAAGCAAAUCCCAUAAAGUUGUUCUCAGUUCGGAUUGUAGUCUGCAACUCGACUACAUGAAGCUCCCAUCGCUAGUAAUCGUAGAUCAGCAUGCUACGGUGAAUACGUUCCCGGGUCUUGUACACACCGCCCGUCACACCACGAGAGUUUGUA
rnacentral:rRNA from 1 species